rnacentral:lncRNA from 1 species
AUAUGAGCGGGCAGGAAGCGCCGGGGAGGGAGCGAGGGGAGGGCGCCCGGAGCCGCUCGGCGGGCAGGGCCGGCAGACAGACAGACACACGGACAGACAGACACACACACAGACAGCUCGGCAGCAGCCACAGCAGCGACAGCAGCCACAGCAGCGACCGUCCGUCCCCACGGCCAUGGGGCUCGGCCGGCUCCCCGCACCCCGCCAUCACUGGCACCUAAAAUGCUGCACAGGUUAUGCUCCAUAAACCAUCUCCAGUUUUUCUUCUAUUCACUGUGAUGGAUGAAACACUGCCCAGUAGCUGGCUUCACAUUCAAGAAGCACAGAGGAGCUGCUGCACUCAAAUCUUUCUGAAGCUACUUUCUCUCAUGGCUUAAAUGUUCCUGAAUGCUUUUGUUUUCCAGGCAGAUCUGAUUAGUUUGAGUUGCUUGGAGUGAACAUUUUAAUAAAUCUGAG